GACGAACGCUGGCGGCGUGCUUAACACAUGCAAGUCGAACGGAAAGGCCUGCUUUCCCUUGUGGCUUGCGGUUACUCGAGUGGCUAACGGGUGAGUAACACGUGAGUUAUCUGCCCCCAACUUUUGUAUAGGCCUGGGAAACUGGUUCUAAUUCCCGAUAGGACUGCAGUGUGGUGCCUGUAGUUUAGAACGAUUUUCAAGUGCUUGGGGAUGAGCUCGCUGCCUAUCAGCUUGUUGGUGGGGUAAUGGCCUACCAAGGCGGCGACGGGUAGCCUGCCUGGGAGGGUGGACGGGCACAUUGGGACUGAGAUACGGCCCAGACUCCUACGGCAGGCAGCAGUGGGGAAUAUGGCAUAAUGGGCGGAAGACUGAUGCAGCGACGCCGCGUGGGGGAUGACGGCUUUCGGGUGGUAAACUCCUUUUGACAGCGAGGAAGCCACCUGGUUGGAAGGGUGGUGACGGUAGUGGUAGAAGAAGCACCGGCUAACUACGUG
rnacentral:rRNA from 1 species